rnacentral:rRNA from 1 species
UACGUAGGGGGCAAGCGUAGUCCGGAAUCAUUGGGCGUAAAGAGCGUGUAGGCGGCCAGAAAAGUCCGCUGUGAAAACUCGAGGCUCAACUUCGAGCUGUCGGUGGAAACUUUCUGGCUAGAGUCCGGAAGAGGAGAAUGGAAUUCCUGGUGUAGCGGUGAAAUGCGCAGAUAUCAGGAAGAACACCCGUGGCGAAGGCGGUUCCCUGGGACGGUACUGACGCUGAGACGCGAAAGCGUGGGGAGCGAACAGG